AUGUCGGCGAUAGUGGGGCACGACGACGGCUCGCCGCCGUCCCCGCUCCACCUGCUGGAGGUGACGGUCAUCUCCGCGCAGGACCUGCACCGGCGCCACCGGCUCAGCCACCGGGUGCGCGCGUACGCCGUGGCGUGGAUCGACGGCACGCGGAAGCUGCGCACGGAGGUGGACCUCGCCGGCGGGGCCGACCCGACGUGGAACGACCGGUUCCUCUUCCGCGUGGACGCCGGGUUCCUCAGGUCGGAGACCGCCGCCGUCGUCGUCGAGGUGCGCGCGACCCGGAGGUUUGGCUCUGAUGUUGUCCUUGGACGCACGGGGAUCGUGGUGAGCACGUUCGUGCGCGUGCACUCGUCCAGGCUCACUGCUGCUCCUGCGGUGGCGGUGGCGCCCACCGGGCGGCAGGUGGCGGCGCUGCAGCUCAGGCGCCCGCGGUCCCUCCGGCCGCAGGGCGUGCUCAACGUGGCGGUGACGCUGCUGGGCGCCGCCCAGGCGCGCGCCGUGGCGCCCAUCUACCACAUGCCGGGGUCACCGGACGCGUUCGCCAUGAAGGACCUCGUGGCGAUGAGGCCGGCGCCGUUCCUGUCCGAGAUCACGGAGGACGGCGAGGCCGAGGCGAGGGAUCUGGACUACCACGCGCGCCGCCAGCGGCCGUUGGUUGAGCACUCCGGGCCGCUGGACCCGAGGGGCGCCGCCAUCGAGCAGAGCAAGCUGGCCAUGAAGCUGGAGAAGUGGAGGGUGGAUCUGUCCCCGGACCAUGGGGAUCAUGACGGCCGCGGCGGCGGCAGGUCAGGGAGGUGGCUGCGCCGGACCUCCUGCUUCGGCCGCCAGGAGAGCUGGGAAAGGUAA
rnacentral:rRNA from 1 species